rnacentral:lncRNA from 1 species
AAGAUAUAAAUGUUGAAAUUGAGACACUGCUCUGCCACUUGACUUCAGUAUCUCGACUAAACUGAUGCCACUGCCUUUGCCAUGGUAAGUAUACACUGAGAAUCCUGCAAAAAUCAAUAGUCUUUCCAUCAAGUCCUACAAGCUGUAAGAUCAUUCUUUUUUUAUCAGAAUUUACUAUAUUCGGUCGUGUAUUAAUGUCUUCAAAUUCCCUUAUUAUCUUUCAGAAAAUAGAUCCUACAUAGGAUCAGUUGGUGCUGUCCCUUCUGCCAGACUUGGUAUUUCUGUUACUGAAGGAAGCUGUGAGAUGCUUGCAGGCUCUGCUGCCUCAGCUCUUUUCACAACAUACUCCAGUUGCUUUGAUUUAUUUGUUGGAAAAAGCUGGAUUCUCUGUGGAAAAUGUCUGCUACAACAGAUGUAGUGAUGCUUGAACAGGAGAUGCAAGUGAGCAUUAGUUAAGGAGCUGAACGGGCUUGAGAGUUAUGGAACAUAAUAGAUGGCAGAGAAACGUGAGCAAUACUAAUGGUACGAGAAGCAAGUCUUCCAGAUGGAGAGUCUGCAAGGGUCAGAACCAGGUGGCUGAAUUCUCACAGGUGAAGUUUUGCAUUAUUUGAUGCUGAAAUAGUACUGGCGCAAGCUGUGUGUAGCAGGACUCUGAAGUAAAUGUCACUCAGAAAAGAUGGCAUUAGGAUUAUGGGGGCAAUCAGUGUUUUUUAUUGAGCAUAGCAGGAAGAAAAUGAAAGCUGUAAAAUGCCAGUGUGGGUAAACAUUAUUCACAUAUGUAGAAUAUGAACUUCUGUCCCUUCUUAAGUACAUAGCAAUGACCGAGCUUUUAUCCUUACCCGCACAUCAUGAGUUUAAGCUGGUUAAAGAGAAACUAACAAGACUAGAGAAUUAAAACGAGAGCAAGUGUUUUUCCAAACCUGCUCUGUAGCAAACAACCCAGCACAGAGGAACCUGCUGUAAUGCCACUGUGACUGGAAAAGGCCAAUUGCUGGUAUGAGCUGCAGGGAGUGGAAUCCAGCAGAAAACACCUCCUGGGGAUGGCUCUCAUUAGGGACACUGCUGCCCAACCCCCUUUGAAGGAACCUGCAAAAAUUUGAAUUUCUGCUUAUAAUUUCCUUCCCUGGAGGGCAGUUACAGUGAAAGCAGUGCACGCAGUCUAUUCCUAUUUGUAAUGCAGCUACUGGUGUUCAGUUCCCACAACCCAGUGUGUCUGAAUAGCACAGCAAUAAUAUCAUAUGCAUAGCUUAGCCCUUGAGAGUAGUUGUAUUGCUGAGACCCUGGAGAGCCAUUCAGGGAUGGAAGAGUUCAUUUUGAAGCUCUGCAAAGGGACUCAUAAUACCAAUAAUAAAUAACACACUGAUCCAUGAAGGUUCUCCCCU